AGAGUUUGAUCCUGGCUCAGGAUGAACGCUAGCGGCAGGCUUAAUACAUGCAAGUCGAGGGACAGCACAGGUAGUAAUACUGGGUGGUAACCGGCAAACGGGUGCGGAACACGUACACAACCUUCCUUUAAGUGGGGGAUAGCCCAGAGAAAUUUGGAUUAAUACCCCGUAACAUAGUGAACUGGCAUCAGUUUAUUAUUAUAGAUACGUCGCUUAAUGAUGGGUGUGCGUCUGAUUAGAUAGUUGGGGAGGUAACGGCUCACCAAGUCAACGAUCAGUAGCUGAUGUGAGAGCAUGAUCAGCCACACGGGCACUGAGACACGGGCCCGACUCCUACGGGAGGCAGCAGUAAGGAAUAUUGGUCAAUGGACGCAAGUCUGAACCAGCCAUGCCGCGUGAAGGAUUAAGGUCCUCUGGAUUGUAAACUUCUUUUAUUUGGGACGAAAAAGGGACUUUUUAGUUCAACUGACGGUACCAGAUGAAUAAGCACCGGCUAACUCCGUGCCAGCAGCCGCGGUAAUACGGAGGGUGCAAGCGUUAUCCGGAUUCACUGGGUUUAAAGGGUGCGUAGGCGGGCAGUUAAGUCAGUGGUGAAAUCCUAGAGCUUAACUCUAGAACUGCCAUUGAUACUAUCUGUCUUGAAUAUUGUGGAGGUAAGCGGAAUAUGUCAUGUAGCGGUGAAAUGCUUAGAUAUGACAUAGAACACCUAUUGCGAAGGCAGCUUACUACGCAUAUAUUGACGCUGAGGCACGAAAGCGUGGGGAUCAAACAGGAUUAGAUACCCUGGUAGUCCACGCCCUAAACUAUGAUUACUCGACAUUUGAGAUACACUUUAAGUGUCUGAGCGAAAGCAUUAAGUAAUCCACCUGGGAAGUACGUCCGCAAGGAUGAAACUUAAAGGAAUUGACGG
rnacentral:rRNA from 1 species